AAUCAACGCUGGCGGCGUGCCUCAGACAUGCAAGUCGAACGAUUAAAGCUCUCUUCGGAGAGUGUAUAGAGUGGCGCACGGGUGAGUAACACGUAAGUAAUCUACCCUCGAGUGGGGGAAUAACAACCGGAAACGGUUGCUAAUACCGCAUAAUGCAGCGGCACCGCAAGGUGACAGUUGUUAAAGAUUUAUCGCUUGAGGAGGAGCUUGCGGCAGAUUAGCUAGUUGGUAGGUAACGGCUUACCAAGGCUACGAUCUGUAACCGGUCUAAGAGGACGGUCGGUCACACUGACACUGAAUAACGGGUCAGACUCCUACGGGAGGCAGCAGUCGGGAAUUUUGGGCAAUGGGCGAAAGCCUGACCCAGCAACGCCGCGUGAAGGAUGAAGUAUUUCGGUAUGUAAACUUCGAAAGAAUAGGAAGAAUUAAAUGACGGUACUAUUUAUAAGGUCCGGCUAACUACGUG
rnacentral:rRNA from 1 species